rnacentral:rRNA from 1 species
AGAUUGAACGCUAGCGGGAUGCUUUACACAUGCAAGUCGAACGGCAGCGCGGACUUCGGUCUGGCGGCGAGUGGCGAACGGGUGAGUAAUAUAUCGGAACGUGCCCAGUAGCGGGGGGAUAACUACGCGAAAGCGUGGCUAAUACCGCAUACGCCCUACGGGGGAAAGGGGGGGAUUCUUCGGAACCUCUCACUAUUGGAGCGGCCGAUAUCAGAUUAGCUAGUUGGUGAGGUAAAGGCUCACCAAGGCGACGAUCUGUAGCUGGUUUGAGAGGACGACCAGCCACACUGGGACUGAGACACGGCCAGACUCUACGGGAGCAGCAGGUGGGAAUUUGGACAAGUGGGGGAACCCUGAUCCAGCCACUCCCGCGUGUCGCGAGUGAAGGUCCGUUCGGGUUGGUAAACGUACUACGUUUUU